UGAAGAAGCCCUGCUGACAGAACUGAAAGUUUGAGGAAGAUGUCACCACAUCUCUGGGUCACGUUUCCUCUGUCGUCACAAUCGUUCUCAACACAGGAAGAAUAAAAAGCACCAAUUUGUUUUGGCAACAUUUUUCACUUCCUUUAGUAUUUAACUGUGAAAAACUCACUGCAAUCCAGGAUGAAGAGUCCAGUUGAGAAGCUGAUCACUUCUGCUGACAAUAUCCAGUAGAUCCAGUAGAUCCAGUAGAACCAGUUCCUCCUGAACAUCUGCCCAGCUGCUGAAGCCUCGUCUCCUCUCUGCUGGACUCCACCUCUCCUCUCCACCAGAGGGCGCCAUGCUCCAGUAGGCGGCGCUCUCCUUGUGCUCUGUGCUCCAGCAUUGUGUCAAUAAGAAGUGGUGCUGUGAAGAGAACAAUAGUCAGACUGAAUGUUGAACAUCAGCUGCUUUCUCCUGCUGAUUUAAACCUUGUUGGACAGAUGGAACAUUGGCUGUGGAUUAUUCUGGCUGCUCUUUUCUCUGAGUGUAAAGGAGACUCAGUGAAGCAGACAGGAGGAGAAGUUGCUGCUGCAGCAGGAGAAUCACUGACUCUGGGAUGUACUUAUGACAGCAGUGUGAGUGUCACAUUGUUCUGGUACAGGCAAGAAGAGAACAGCUUCCCAAAGUACAUGCUGAAGCAGCUGUCAUCAACAAAAUAUAAAGAUCCAGAGUUCAACAACAGAUUUGAUGCUGACUUCAAUAAAGAAAAGAAAUCCUUUAAUCUGACGAUCCAGGAUUUCCGUCUGUCAGACUCUGCUGUGUACUACUGCGCUCUGCAGCCCACAGUGACAGGAAACACCAGAACCCUGAACAAAAACCUGCAGUACUGCACAGCAGCCACUAGAGGGCCUCACUCUCUGUUAAUCCACUAAAACCUGCAGUACUGCACAGCAGCCACUAGAGGGCCUCACUCCCUGUUAAUCCACUAAAACCUGCAGUACUGCACAGCAGCCACUAGAGGGCCUCACUCCCUGUUAAUCCACUAAAACCUGCAGUACUGCACAGCGGUAACUAGAGGAAUGUUUGAAAGAAUAUUUAAGCAUUUACUUACUAACAUACAUGUUGAUUUUGGCAGUAAUUAGU